GUUGCCCUUGGAGCUGGCCUCCUGGCUGUGGGGGAGAGUUGGAUGGGCUGGGCCACAUUCACUGAUCAGGCAGAGGAGGGGCUGGAGCCAUCUGGGCCCUGGAAAACCAGCCAUAUACGAGCCCACAUGAACGCAGCUGUGACCUUCGCUAACUGUGCGCUGGGCCGCGUGCCCUGGAGGAAGUUUCCAGUCUAUGUGCUGGGGCAGUUCCUGGGCUCCUUCCUGGCGGCUGCCACCAUCUACAGUCUCUUCUACACGGCCAUUCUCCGCUUUUCGGGUGGACAGCUGAUGGUGACCGGUCCCGUCGCUACAGCUGGCAUUUUUGCCACCUACCUUCCUGAUCACAUGACAUUGUGGCGGGGCUUCCUGAAUGAGGCGUGGCUGACCGGGAUGCUCCAGCUGUGUCUCUUCGCCAUCACGGACCAGGAGAACAACCCAGCACUGCCAGGAACACAGGCGCUGGUGAUAGGCAUCCUCGUGGUCAUCAUCGGGGUGUCCCUCGGCAUGAACACAGGAUAUGCCAUCAACCCGUCCCGGGACCUGCCCCCCCGCAUCUUCACCUUCAUUGCUGGUUGGGGCAAACAGGUCUUCAGGUACUGCCCCUGCCCAGGCCCAUUCCUUUGAGUUUUUCCGUGGGUCCCCUGUGUGUUGAGGGGUGGGGGGUGAUGUGAGGGGCA
rnacentral:sRNA from 1 species